GGGGGCGUGGUGUAGUGGUUAACACACUGGCCUGUCAAGCCAGAGAUCGCGGGUUCGACCCCCGUCGCUCCCG
rnacentral:tRNA from 1 species